rnacentral:misc_RNA from 1 species
GCAAAUUAUACACUGAGAGCAGAGAUUUUCAGGAAACUCCAACUUGUGUUGUAGAAUUGAUCAUUGAGAAAGUGGCAAACUUUCUUGGAAAACAAUUUCAAAAACCAGGAAGAGUCAUUCUUUAAGUCAUUUGAAAAGGUUCUUAAGUCCAUCAAAUAAAUUCAGAGCCCUCAAUUCUCCACUCCUUAUGUCCCUCAAUCUUCUCCUCAAUAUAUAUUGGCUACGAUAGAGUAUCCUUCGCUCACUUGUACACAGGUCAACUGCUAGCUGUUUCAGAAACACUCUUCUGUUUAGUUGCUUUGGGUUUGUUACAUCGAGAUCCAUUUCUCCACUUGCCUGAAGGAAUUUGGAAUACUUUGAUAUGCUAGAUUCACAACUAUCGAGAAUAAAUUGCAAUGCAUCUUCUUCUAUUUCUGGAU